AUGAACGCUGGCGGCGUGCCUAAUACAUGCAAGUCGAGCGAACGGACGAGAAGCUUGCUUCUCUGAUGUUAGCGGCGGACGGGUGAGUAACACGUGGAUAACCUACCUAUAAGACUGGGAUAACUUCGGGAAACCGGAGCUAAUACCGGAUAAUAUUUUGAACCGCAUGGUUCAAAAGUGAAAGACGGUCUUGCUGUCACUUAUAGAUGGAUCCGCGCUGCAUUAGCUAGUUGGUAAGGUAACGGCUUACCAAGGCAACGAUGCAUAGCCGACCUGAGAGGGUGAUCGGCCACACUGGAACUGAGACACGGUCAGACUCCUACGGGAGGCAGCAGUAGGGAAUCUUCCGCAAUGGGCGAAAGCCUGACGGAGCAACGCCGCGUGAGUGAUGAAGGUCUUCGGAUCGUAAAACUCUGUUAUUAGGGAAGAACAUAUGUGUAAGUAACUGUGCACAUCUUGACGGUACCUAAUCAGAAAGCCACGGCUAACUACGUG
rnacentral:rRNA from 1 species